rnacentral:lncRNA from 1 species
CGAGCCCGCUACCGCUUGAGCCACAUCCCCUGUUAAUACUUCUAAUUGAAUUGAAAUAAAGCUCUAUUACCUUUAUUAAGGGAUAAAAAAUCAACAUAAAUUUAAAAUUCAAAAGAAAACACUAAAAGUAUUUUUGGACUAAAAGUUCAAAAGUGAACACUUCUACAGUAUACUGUAUUUCCCAGGGCACAGUGAUUUGGGCCUAGGUAGAAGGUCUUACAGUAGGUUACAUAGUAUGCAUUCACAGAAGUGGGGCAUUUUUUAGUCAGUCAUCUCUGGCUUUGAAUUGUACCUGCAACACUGACUUAUUGUGUGACUCUGGGAAAUUUACCUAUUCAACCUCUCUAACCAUUUAGAAGGAAAAUAAUAAUACUUGCCUGACAAGAUAAUCAAGAAGUAGAUAAGGUAGUGAACAUGAGAUACCUGUUAAAGAACCUGAUGCUGAAAGGUUAAAGAAAUUGAAAUGUAAAGGAUAAGAUUUGUUUCAAGUUCUGUAAAAACAACUCCCGGAAAAGCCACUAAAAUGUAUGUUGAAAUCUCCCCUGACCAUCUGGUUGCUCUGUAAAAACAACCCCCCCCCUACCCAGAAACCGUGCAGUCCGGCACGUACACACCUCAGGGCUUAAGCCAAUGAGUUAGAAUGUAUACCCUUCUUUGUGCUGACCAAUCACCCCUACCCGACUUGUUCCCGCCAGUGAAUGUACUAAUCAUGGUUAAGAGUUGUUUGAUUUUCCCGUGGCAUGUGAUGAUUUGUUAUGCUGUAUGUGAAGUCCCUGCCCUUUCCAAAGAACGUAUAAAAGCUCUGCUCAAGCUGUUCUAGGGGCUCUUGGCUCUUUACCCCUUCGAGGUGAGGUUGGAGCCCCAGCAUGCUGGACC